GGUAAUUAGAACUAAGAUAGAGGAAUAAAAACCUUAAAUCACAGUGAACCUUCUGUCUUCUUAUAACUCUUCUCUGUACAUCAGGAACAUUUCUCAGUCUUCACUCGCUCAUCACUAAAGUUAAAUAUGAGUCUGCAAAGUAACUGAACCAGCAAAUUCAGGGGUAAAAAGUUCUGUCGUCAUAUUUUGUAGUGGACUAAAAGUAUAAAGUACCAAAAAACAAACUGUAUUUGAGCUUUUAUUUUGAAAGUGCCUUAUGAUCAGUGCUCUACACGUCACCUCUGACCCGCCACCUGCCUGAGGUAUCGAUCAGGAAGGGGGCGUGGCUUCCAGGGCGGGACGUGUGUUCGGCUGGUUGCUGCAGGAAGUCGAGCUGAAGGAUUUAAUCGUCAAAAUUCAGAUUUAAAAGACUCCAACAGGAUUUCUGUGUCUCGUCUAUUUUCAACUGGAGCAACAUGACUCUGAAUAUUCUCCGCUCGCUGACUGAAGUCUUGAUCCAUGAUUCAAACCUCUCCAACUAGAGGAGACGGAGGACGAGUCUCGGCCCAAACCAGGAUUAUCUCACCAGGGGACGCAUCCAGAAACUUGUUCUCACGUUCUUAAACACUAUCUCACAGUUGGCGAGUUUGAUUUCAGCCACAAACCUGCAGCACCGGACGGUUUGUUGCACUGGACCGUCUGAAAAGGAGCUGCUUGAAAUGCUUGACAGCUCACGUUGGAGAAGAAACGAAGGAUUCAUGAAGCUCGAGUCUCCUUUAACAUCCUGGAGGAGAUCCUCAGGGAGCUGAAAGUGUCUGCAUCACAGAGAAACUCCAAACACGGAGCUCCGACAGAAAGGCCCGAGAGUCGCAGCGUUUCCAAACACGGCUCAGAUUUGGUCUCCUGACUGAUGCUGAAACUGGAUCUCUGUCAGCUCUCGCAGUGCGUUUCGCCCCGACAAGAAUAAAAAUGUUGCGUGUAAGAACUCGGCAUUCAUCAUCUGACGUAAGAGCCUCUCCAGUUUCAGAUUUCCUCCCACACUGAACACUGACUCAUCUUUCAGUAGAAUCUCUUCACACACAUCCGCAGACACCUAAUAUCUCUGGAAACAAAACCUUCAGAAAACUGAAAUACUGUACAGACAUUCAACGAUCCGCUGAAGCGUCUUAUCUGGUAUAAAGCAUCUCUGCUGACGGGGGGAGGGUGUCGGGUCACAGACAGACCCGAUGCUCCCGUCUGUCAGGACCAGUUCAGGCAGGGUUCAGCUGACAGACCUGACAGACCUGGUGGGUGAGCAGAAGCAGAGUUUAUAAUGUGAAAAUAUAGAUUUUUAGUCUUUCAAAAGUCAACUCUUCAGUCACUGGUUCAGAGAAAGUCUGUCUCUAGUUGUUGGAGCUGCAGCAACCGUGAAACACAACGUACCUGGUUCAAGUUCAGGUGACGUCCUGUUUGUCUCACACUCGGUCUGUUAACUGUUUCAGAAGAAACCAAACUUGAUAAAGUCAAAGUCCAGUUGUGUUUUAAUCCAAAGUCAGUCGAGUACAGAGGAAGUCUCAACUCAGCGUCAGACGAGUCACAGAUCUGUUGAAGCGAUGUUGAAAUCUUUCAGGUCGUCAUGUAGACACGGAAACAUUUUCCUUUUAACAACCGUGUCAGACCCAGUUCAUCCAGGACCAGAACCCACAUAACAUCUGGCUUUUGUUUUCAGGCAGGAGAAGGUCCAACCGGCAAAACUCUGCUUCAUUCCACGAUCACUUCUGAGUUGAUGUUCCUUUAGAAAUAUAUUCAGAUACACAGUUACGAAUUACCUGUUAAAUGAAGUCAGUAAUGUGACCUCAGUAUCACAAUAUUCAGUAAACUUGAUUACUUUCCGUUAUUCUGGAUCAGCUCAGUACCAAACAUGUAAUGACGAGAGAAAAGAAAUAUCAGUAAGAUGACCCGCAGAGUCUCUUCUGUAAGAAUACACACUCAGUUUGUAUUCAGUUUGACAUGAGACCGGCGGUGUAACGAUCCAUCGAUUCAUAUUUUAUUUUGAAAUUCCCACGGCACCGUUUCUGUCCAGCUCCUUUCUAAACAGCUCUAGCUAGCAGCUGCAAGGAAAAGACGGUGAGAAUAUUAUUUACUGUCCUCUCAGGAAUAAUAAGCAGCAGUCAGAGACGUUCAGGUCGGCGAGGAUCUUUAGAAAUGUGGCACUUUAUCAUGAACAGACGGUCACUGAUAAAAUAAUAUUUCCACUGAAGAGUUCAGCGAUGAAACUGUUAAAUAAUACUUCAGUAGCUUUUUGUUGGCUGAUAUAAAUGUAACUGUGUUAGCUGGUAUCGUGUUGUCGUGUGUGCAGAUGUUGAUGGUUACAGAUUUUAAAAUGUGACCCUGUUAGUAAUCUUUUAAUCUUCUUUCUGUAACUUUACCAGUAUAAAUCGUUACCGUUUGUAUUAACAGACGUGAUGUGCAGAGGCAGAAAGAAAAACACCACGGCAGCUUUGUUCCUGUGUAGUGAAUGUUUACUGUAGCAGCAGCGAGCCGUCAGAAGGCCACAAUCUGUUUCACCUCAACACAAAAAAUCCUAAAAGCUUAAAUACAAAAUAGAUCUUUUCUCUGAUCGGCUCCGUCCUCGUCUGGAAAAUAUAAUAUUGCAGAGAACGUAUUUACAUCCUGGCUUUGAAGAAUAUUUAACAUUAAUCAAAAGAUACCGUCUCAUAAAUUAAUCACACAGAUUCAGCCUGAAAACAAUUAAGAAAAAAGCUCCGAACUCAAUUAAAAUGUAACAUAAAACUCAUCAAACCAUCAAUCAAACUCUCGUUUCUCCUCGUGUAAAAUAUCUGGAAUUAAAAUCUCAACAUCUUUAGAUUUAAUCACAUCUCAGCAAACAUUGGCACGCUUUGUUCGAAGGCAACCUCUCUGUUGUGUUUUGGUUUUAGCAGAGCCGACAGAACGUGUCGCUCCGCUGAUCACGUAAGGCAUUCAGAAAUAUUGAUCAGAGCUCUGAGGCUGUUGACAGAUUAACCUCCUCUCAACCAGAAAUGAAGGAGAAUACGUUCUGUAGUUUGCAAAUACUGAAACUGAUGAUUGAUCUCACGCUACCUGACGCUUGUUGUUAAGGGUUAGACGCAGCAUAGUUUCUAACAGAAUUAGUGAUCAUGGAGAGUCGUACUGUUGAGUACUCGAGUGUUAAGAUGCAGAAGUGCAAGUUCAGGAAUAACAUGUUCAGCUUUUUGAUCGGCUUUUCUUUCUGCUCCGUCAGAACCGAGCCGGGGUGGAAAUGUUCCAGUCCAGAGGAGACGCAGCCGUGUUGUGUUUUUCAGCAUCUGUCGUCUUCACAGUCGCUGGUUUUUAUAGUUUGCAGGACAGAAGACUUCCAGUUUGAAAGUGAAGGAGCGUUUUCUCUGCACGAUUCGUUGACUCAGCGUCUGUUUCACACCUCACGUUGGUGUUAAAUGAGGUGGACGAAUGUUAUCAGACGACCUGUGAGUUCAGUGAAACAAUGAGGUGGAAAUUUUACUUUUACUUCAAACUGUCACAGCAGAAUCAGAGCUGAAGUCCUGCAGCUUCUGCUCGACCUCAUGGGACCUUUAGUUUAGGAAAAGUUAACGGGAAGAGAUAAAUAUAUUUUUGAUACUGUUUCAAUAUUUAAUAUUUAUCUUCAAAGAUAAUCCUGCAAGUGUUUGUCGUAAAGACGGUAAAAUAUUAUUCAGUUUUGUGAUAAAUGGCUCAUCUUGCUCAAUACAGGUCAUAAACACCAACAUGGCUGGUACCUGGGCAGGAAAAGUAUUAAAAUCACAAUAAAUCUGCUCAUAUUGAUAACUGAAGUUUAUGAAGUUAUGACUUUCAGUGAGUCUUCGACAAGACGACGUCACUAACGAGACUGUGUCGUCUUUAUAAUGAUGUAUUUUCACAGUCUU